rnacentral:rRNA from 1 species
UGGUAAUGCCGGAUGCUCCAGUUGAUCGCAUGGUCUUCUGGGAAAGCUUUCGCGGUAUGGGAUGGGGUCGCGUCCUAUCAGCUUGACGGCGGGGUAACGGCCCACCGUGGCUUCGACGGGUAGCCGGCCUGAGAGGGCGACCGGCCACAUUGGGACUGAGAUACGGCCCAGACUCCUACGGGAGGCAGCAGUGGGGAAUAUUGCACAAUGGGCGCAAGCCUGAUGCAGCGACGCCGCGUGAGGGAUGGAGGCCUUCGGGUUGUAAACCUCUUUUAUCGGGGAGCAAGCGAGAGUGAGUUUACCCGUUGAAUAAGCACCGGCUAACUACGUGCCAGCAGCCGCGGUAAUACGUAGGGUGCAAGCGUUAUCCGGAAUUAUUGGGCGUAAAGGGCUCGUAGGCGGUUCGUCGCGUCCGGUGUGAAAGUCCAUCGCUUAACGGUGGAUCCGCGCCGGGUACGGGCGGGCUUGAGUGCGGUAGGGGAGACUGGAAUUCCCGGUGUAACGGUGGAAUGUGUAGAUAUCGAA